GAUGAACGCUGGCGGCGUGCCUAAUACAUGCAAGUCGAGCGAACAGACGAGGAGCUUGCUCCUCUGACGUUAGCGGCGGACGGGUGAGUAACACGUGGAUAACCUACCUAUAAGACUGGGAUAACUUCGGGAAACCGGAGCUAAUACCGGAUAAUAUAUUGAACCGCAUGGUUCAAUAGUGAAAGACGGUUUUGCUGUCACUUAUAGAUGGAUCCGCGCCGCAUUAGCUAGUUGGUAAGGUAACGGCUUACCAAGGCGACGAUCCGUAGCCGACCUGAGAGGGUGGAGGCCCACAGUGAAACUGAAGCCGAGCCGGCGCACCGAGGGAGGGAGCAGAGAGAAGAGUCUCAGCAAGGGAACGAGGCGUGCGGGAGCACCACGGGGUGAGAAUGAAUGUUUUUAGGACAUAAAAAUUUUUUUAUGAGGAAAAAAAAAAUGGUAAAUAACAUAGCCUCUUCUGGGGGUAACGUAAUAGAAAGCCCCCGGCAAGCUCGGUA
rnacentral:rRNA from 1 species